rnacentral:rRNA from 1 species
CGAACGGGUGAGUAAUACAUCGGAACGUGUCCCGUAGUGGGGGAUAGCCCGGCGAAAGCCGGAUUAAUACCGCAUAUGCUACGGGAAAGCGGCGCUAUGGGAGCGGCCGAUGUCCGAUUAGCUUGUUGGUGAGGUAAAGGCUUACCAAGGCGACGAUCGGUAGCUGGUCUGAGAGGAUGAUCAGCCACACUGGGACUGAGACACGGCCCAGACUCCUACGGGAGGCAGCAGUGGGGAAUUUUGGACAAUGGGGGAAACCCUGAUCCAGCCAUGCCGCGUGCGGGAAGAAGGCCUUCGGGUUGUAAACCGCUUUUGUCCGGGAAGAAUGACGGUACUGGAAGAAUAAGCACCGGCUAACUACGUGCCAGCAGCCGCGGUAAUACGUAAGGUGCGAGCCGUUAUCGGAAUUACUGGGCGUAAAGCGUGCGCA